AAGAAGCAAUGGUGAACUCGUGGUAUGACGAACAGAAACCUAAUACCAAGGCGUAUUAAGCGGACAAGUUGGCUAAAGACAACAAAGUUCUCAAAGGCAAUCGUAACCUUAAUGCGUAAAUUAGGCGGAUAAACGAUGAAAGGAA
rnacentral:ncRNA from 1 species